UACGAAGGGCGCAAACGUUGCUCGGAAUUAUUGGGCGUAAAGCGCACGUAGGCGGCUCUAUAAGUCGGAUGUGAAAUCCCUCGGCUUAACCAAGGAAGUGCAUCCGAAACUGCAGAGCUUGAGUACUUAAGAGGAUCGCGGAAUUCCCGGUGUAGAGGUGAAAUUCGUAGAUAUCGGGAGGAACACCAGUGGCGAAGGCGGCGAUCUGGGAAGAUACUGACGCUGAGGUGCGAAAGCGUGGGGAGCAAACAGG
rnacentral:rRNA from 1 species